AGUAUAAUCAAGGCUACCACUUACAAGUCUUUGAAAUAGAGGAAAUGAAAUCAAUUUACAAAAGAAGUCAUUUCACAAUUCAGAUCCAAUUUAAUUACUCAUAAAAGAGUAUAAUCAAGGUUACCACUUACAAGUCUUUGAAAUAGAGGAAAUGAAAUCAAUUUACAAAAGAAAUCAUUUCACAAUUCAGAUCCAAUUUGAUUACUC
rnacentral:lncRNA from 1 species